rnacentral:lncRNA from 1 species
CUGAAGGCCUGUCACCUGAAGACAUCUCCACCAGAGUGACAGCUCUGGCCCUAGAUGGCCUGGGGCCUCUCCCCAGGGGUUGGCACUGUUUUGCUAUGUAGUCCAGAAUAGCAUCAAAUUCGUGGCUCUCUUCCUGUCUCAGCCUCUAGAAAGCACAUCGCUUCACAGUGAGUUUCAAAAGAGGUUGAGGGCAAAGAAACUCGGACCUUUGGGCGGACUGCUCUGCCCAUUCCUCUCUCCAGGCCUGGCUGGCUCCACCAAUCUUUGAGGCCCUGAGAAGAGCACCGGUGUCGCCGACCACUCCUCCUGACAGCCCGCAAUGGUCCAGUCACGCGGAGCCAUCCAUCAGUGUCCUGGGAAAAGAGUGGCCCUAAGGAGCCUUUCCCGCACACUUUUGGAAGCUGCUGGGUGCCUUAGGGCACCGAGGGGCAAGACAAGGAAGGAUGCCAGAGGUGGGCAGACGCGGGAAGGCAAGCCCUGGCUCAGAACUGCGGACGCCCUUCCCGAAAUCCCUCAGGCU